UACUCCUACGGGAGGCAGCAGUGGGGAAUAUUGGACAAUGGGCGCAAGCCUGAUCCAGCAAUGCCGCGUGUGUGAAGAAGGCCUUCGGGUUGUAAAGCACUUUAGGUUGGGAAGAAAAAAUUCGGGCGAAUAUCCCGAGUCUUGACGGUACCGACAGAAUAAGCACCGGCUAACUCUGUGCCAGCAGCCGCGGUAAUACAGAGGGUGCUAGCGUUAAUCGGAUUUACUGGGCGUAAAGCGUGCGUAGGCGGUUUGUUAAGUCGGUUGUGAAAGCCCCGGGCUCAACCUGGGAAUUGCAGACGAUACUGGCAGACUAGAGAACGGUAGCGGGAGGCGGAACUCCAGGUGUAGCGGUGAAAUGCGUAGAUAUCUGGAAGAACACCGAUGGCGAAGGCAACCUCCUGGGCCUGUUC
rnacentral:rRNA from 1 species